GCAACUCGACUACAUGAAGCUGGAAUCGCUAGUAAUCGCGAAUCAGAAUGUCGCGGUGAAUACGUUCCCGGGUCUUGUACACACCGCCCGUCACACCAUGGGAGUUGGUAACGCCCGAAGUCAGUGACCCAACCUUAGGGAGGGAGCUGCCGAAGGCGGGACUGAUAACUGGGGUGAAGUCGUAACAAGGUAGC
rnacentral:rRNA from 1 species